ACCACUUCGGUGGGGAUUAGUGGCGAACGGGUGAGUAACACGUGGGCAAUCUGCCCUUCACUCUGGGACAAGCCCUGGAAACGGGGUCUAAUACCGGAUACCACUCGCACGGGCAUCUGUGCGGGUUGAAAGCUCCGGCGGUGAAGGAUGAGCCCGCGGCCUAUCAGCUUGUUGGUGAGGUAACGGCUCACCAAGGCGACGACGGGUAGCCGGCCUGAGAGGGCGACCGGCCACACUGGGACUGAGACACGGCCCAGACUCCUACGGGAGGCAGCAGUGGGGAAUAUUGCACAAUGGGCGAAAGCCUGAUGCAGCGACGCCGCGUGAGGGAUGACGGCCUUCGGGUUGUAAACCUCUUUCAGCAGGGAAGAAGCGAAAGUGACGGUACCUGCAGAAGAAGCGCCGGCUAACUACGUGC
rnacentral:rRNA from 1 species